UACGAGGGGGGCUAGCGUUGUUCGGAUUUACUGGGCGUAAAGCGCACGUAGGCGGCUCGUUAAGUCGGGGGUGAAAUCCUGGAGCUCAACUCCAGAACUGCCUUCGAUACUGGCGAUCUUGAGUCCGGAAGAGGUGAGUGGAACUCCUAGUGUAGAGGUGGAAUUCGUAGAUAUUAGGAAGAACACCAGUGGCGAAGGCGGCUCACUGGUCCGGUACUGACGCUGAGGUGCGAAAGCGUGGGGAGCAAACAGG
rnacentral:rRNA from 1 species